CAUAUAUAGGUGAAGGAUCUGGCUUCCAGGAAACAUAAAUGGGUAGCUGGGCAUUGAUUCUACUGGCAAAAAGGUCAAUAUCUGGUGUAUAAAAGGUCUGGCACAGUAACUUGAAGACCUUGGGUAGUAACAUCCAUUCAGUAUCUAAGUUCUUUACUCGGGAUUCUCUGUCUGCCUCUACAUUAUGGAGUCCCUUUAUGUACUCUGCUGACAAUGUAAUCCCUCUUGACUCAGCCCAAUCAAAAAUAUUUUCUAUUACAGCAUUCAGGUUAGGUUUAAUGCUGCCACCCCGGUCUAUACAGGCAACAGCAGUGGUGUUGUCCAAUCGAAAGCAGAUAUGUGUAUCCCUGCAAUCCUUGCAUAGAGAUUUGAGGCCCAAUAGUAUAGCUUUUAGUUCUAAAACAUUAAUAUGGUCUAGUUUCACAUGAGCCCAAUGACCUGUCUUGGCAUCUCCUGUUGUUGCACCCCAACCAGUCAGGCAAGCACAACAGCACAACAUGUACUGGUGAUCAGAUAUGAGGUAGUAAAGUGAUAAAUAUUGAGGAAUCUUCCUAUUGAGGAUAAAUUAAAAACAAAAGAGGCAGGAGAUUAAAGCAAUAGGAUGGUAGUUUGAAGGAUUGGAGUGGUUAUCCUUUUUAGGAACAGGCUAAAUGUAGGUAACUUAUAGCAGGAAGGAAAGGUAGAUGACAAAGUUGAUAUAGUUUGACCAGGCAAGGUGUAAGCAUAGAGGCAUAGUUGUGGAGUGCAACAGGAUGCACCCAAUCAGGCCAGCAAUGGCAUGAAGGACAUCAUUAACAAGACUCUUAACCAGAAGCAUGGAAUAGUCAGAGGAUGGAAGAGAACAUCCCCUGAAACAUCCAAGGUUGAAUUUUUAAUAAAGGUCUGAAUGAGGAGUUCAGAUUUAGCAAUUUAUGAAAUAGUAAUGGUGCCAUCAGAGUGAAGCAGAGAAAGAUAAAGAAGAAAUGUUGAAGAUGUUUUUUUUGGGCUUGAUGCCAGAAGUCACAGGGGGAGUUAGAUCUAGUAAGAUUUUCACAUUUUCUAUUGAAAGUUUUUUUUUAACUAAAUACAUGGAAUAAAGAAGAAUGAUAUGAUCCCUGACAGCAAAUCAGUAUUUUUUUCUGCUAGAACAAUAUUGUCCUUUGUCUCCACCUGAAUAUCAUCACUUUGGGAACCAGUGAAAUUCUCCUCCAGCACUGCCACAUUUCGUAGUCUUUUUAGAGGAGAAAACAGAUCUUCAUUGACCAUACUUUUAUGAGAGUCAGUCAUACAAGCAUUAUGUGGUUCUCUGUGCAUGAGGACCUGACAACAGAACUGGUUUAUCCCUGUUACACCAUAACAUUGAUCCAUUCCUUUCCUGCAUCUGAUCCAGUCUGCUUAUCAAACAAGAUGCAAGAGAGCUUCCUAAAGAAGCCCUCAAGGUUGCAUCACAUUUAUGCAUGUAUCAGAUAGGAACCAAACUGAUCAUACUUGUAAGAGUAUAUCUGUUUAUCUAUCCAUACAGGUUGGCCCAGACAAAGCACCACACACUCAUACACACAUCAUUCACACUCUUAGCCUUACUUGCCCUUGAUAGAAUGGGAUAGUCUCAUGGACCACCCUACUGCACCCCAGGAACUUGUGGCCACAUACUUCCACAUAAAGACCCAACAGUAUACACUGGUUUAUCCAUGCCCUUUCGUAAUGAGGCCAUUCUCUAUAUUUACUUAUUUUACAAUAAAUUAAGUGUGUGCUGUAUUUUUGUUGCAGGUAUUUGGCAUGGGGGAUUGGCAAUAAGUGCCUUACACUCAACCAGAUCAUUAAUAUCAUGUUGGACUUUAAGAUGACAGGUGACUGGCCUCAUGCCUUCCGCCAUGUGCCUCGCAGAAAGCUCGUUACCUCCUUGGAACCAGCAAAUAAAGGAAGAAGCGUUACUAAAAAAGAUACAACGGAGACAGAGAAGUUCAGGAAACCACUAGUGGUCAUCAAAAGUGGUGAUAGUCAAUCUGGUUCCUUACUGCAUCCCAAAGUGCAUAAAUUGUUUUGAAGGGGUGGAGGUGUGACAACCAACUACUCUAACAUCCACUGGACUCCUGUUAUGCAUUAUGUCUCAUUUAUCUUCACUUGGGGCCUUGGUUCCUCUCACCUAAAGUGUUUUGUAUCACUUGGCAUCGAUCACUUCCACAU